rnacentral:rRNA from 1 species
AUUGAACGCUGGCGGCAGGCCUAACACAUGCAAGUCGAGCGGAUGAAGGGAGCUUGCUCCUGGAUUCAGCGGCGGACGGGUGAGUAAUGCCUAGGAAUCUGCCUGGUAGUGGGGGAUAACGUCCGGAAACGGGCGCUAAUACCGCAUACGUCCUGAGGGAGAAAGUGGGGGAUCUUCGGACCUCACGCUAUCAGAUGAGCCUAGGUCGGAUUAGCUAGUUGGUGGGGUAAAGGCCUACCAAGGCGACGAUCCGUAACUGGUCUGAGAGGGUGAUCAGUCACACUGGAACUGAGACACGGUCCAGACUCCUACGGGAGGCAGCAGUGGGGAAUAUUGGACGAUGGGCGAAAGCCUGAUCCAGCCAUGCCGCGUGUGUGAAGAAGGUCUUCGGAUUGUAAAGCACUUUAAGUUGGGAGGAAGGGCAGUAAGUUAAUACCUUGCUGUUUUGACGUUACCAACAGAAUAAGCACCGGCUAACUUCGUG